rnacentral:rRNA from 1 species
GAUGAACGCUGGCGGCGUGCCUAAUACAUGCAAGUCGAGCGAACGGACGAGAAGCUUGCUUCUCUGAUGUUAGCGGCGGACGGGUGAGUAACACGUGGAUAACCUACCUAUAAGACUGGGAUAACUUCGGGAAACCGUAGCUAAUACCGGAUAAUAUUUUGAACCGCAUGGUUCAAAAGUGAAAGACGGUCUUGCUGUCACUUAUAGAUGGAUCCGCGCUGCAUUAGCUAGUUGGUAAGGUAACGGCUUACCAAGGCAACGAUGCAUAGCCGACCUGAGAGGGUGAUCGGCCACACUGGAACUGAGACACGGUCCAGACUCCUACGGGAGGCAGCAGUAGGGAAUCUUCCGCAAUGGGCGAAAGCCUGACGGAGCAACGCCGCGUGAGUGAUGAAGGUCUUCGGAUCGUAAAACUCUGUUAUUAGGGAAGAACAUAUGUGUAAGUAACUGUGCACAUGUUGACGGUACCUAAUCAGAAAGCCACGGCUAACUACGUG